UGAGGGUUUAACGAACGCGGAACCUCACAGGAAGCACCGUGGCAGAGGCCACUGGAGAGGUCACCAUGAGAUGGCUCCUUCCAGCCUUGGAAAUCACGGGCACUUCCUUUGUGUGGGAGCCAAAUGCUUUGUGCAGCCCAAGGACCGGCUCCCCCAGAGCUCCUGACGCACACGGCCCUGGGCCCGGACACCACGUCACGGUGACACGGGGCAGGAGCUCCAGGAAUUCUGUCCUUGUUGGGUUCCUGGCUGCUCUGUGACACACAGGGCAGGAGCUCCAGGAAUUCUGUCCUUGUUCAGGUUCCUGGCUGCUCUGUGACACUGGCCUGAGCUGGGGGCACUGGGAGAACACCAGAGCACACUGGGAGCUCAGAGCUGAAAUCCAGGCUCUGGCUCUGGGCCGAGCCGUGAGAUCUCUGCACGACCUGUGCUUUCCCAGAGCUCCUGAUUCCACCUCCUCUUCCUGCCUGCAGGCCUCCUCCUGCGACUUUAGGGGAUGCAUCUAGUGUCACUUUAACUGGAGAAAAAAACAGAAAUGGUUCCAAAGGAGAAGAGCAGAUCCUACAUUAACAGACAGUGGCACCGAGCUUUUCCUCAUCCCCACUGGGAAACAACACGAGUUCCAAGCACGGAAUGGCAGCGAGUGCCUAAAUCCAUAUUUUAAUCAAUAAAUGCCUGGAGAAUGCCGGGCUGAGCUGAUUUCCACAUG